GAGGCGGAGGGAAGAGGGGGAAAUCCCUUUUAGUUUUGCGAUUAGGCUGCCAGGCUUUGUAAAGGGCUUAAAAACAAAGUCAUGCUCAGUCUUUUGUAGGAGAGAUCCAGAUGUUAUGUAGAUUUCUGUUUGCAUGUUCGUUUUGAGCGGAUCCGGCGGUGAGCGCAGUAUUUAGCGUGUGUGUGCUGCUGGACUUUACCGUUUAUCGACGUUGCGCUUGUGGAAUGUAUGCUGGAGUAUUAGCUCGGUAAUGCCUUCUAAUGGUAGUGCUAAUUACAGUGGGGUUAUUUAGCAAAUUAAGUGAGAUGAUGCACCCCCCCCCACCCCCCACCCCUGAGUACCAAAUGAACUUUUCCGAACACACGGGCACACACACACACACACAACACACACACACGCGUUAAUUUUGGUGCGUUUCUCUCGCCCAAUCACUUCGCUGAAGCUACACCAUGCCUUACCUCAGAGCAGUCAAUUACCAAAGCUACCCGGGAUCAUCAAUCAUGGGGGAUGCUUGAAGUUUAGGGGAGGAGCGAUGGUCAAACUAUCGAUUGCUGCAGUUUUGUCCUCCCCAACCCCCCACCCUCGUUCACGGUCCCCUGCACAUAAAAUCUAAAACAGACUAUCCCGUUAAUAGUGGAAUUUAUCAAUGAUUAUGUACCCGGUUGUGAAUGUAGCCUCAUACGUAGAUGGCUUUUGAAAAUACACGGCAGAAAAUAUAUUAUUCCGUUAGAUUUUGGUUUGGUGUGCUUUUCGUGGUGAUGACGAUGCUUUUCAGAGGUUUGUUGUUUUUUUCUUUUUUUUUUUUAACUUUAAGAAAAUGACUCAAGGGGUAGUUAUAGAUAUUUGGCCUGAUUUUAAUAGGCGAAGGGAAUGAGCUCCAGAGGUCAAUAAACCCCUCCAAAAUGAUGAAUGAUUGAGUACCUGUGAUGAUGAUAGUGAUUACCGGAGCAAUUAAACAGUUUGAUUAAAUGAGCCAUCAUAACAAUGAUGUCUGCGGGAAAUCAGCCCUCACGUAUAAAGAAAGAUAGUGUGGAGAGCUGACAAACGCCAGUGGGCAUUCCUGCAUGUUCCGCUAGCGCCGAGCCCUGCAGAGCAGGGCUGUAUUUACAAAUAUGAGUGGAAUACAGAGAAAAGUCCCUCUCCUACUUUUAGCCAGAGUUGCACCCUGCUUAAAACCCGCCAGAAGCCGGAGAGCAGACACGGGGUUUUUUUUCCCUAGAGGAUCUCCUCCAAGAUUAAAGCUAGUCCUAAGAGCAACCGAAUUGCUGUGACUGACUUUCACGGGACUGUAAAGAGAGCCUUGCAAAAGCGGAUGGCACAACAGAGGGAAAAGCCCCAACUGUGGACGAAACACGAGCGGUGCGGGGUCGCUGUGCCGCGGCGCCCCCGUUUCCCCGCUGGCUGCCCGGGCGGCGGGGCUGCAGCCGGCGCUCCAUCAGCAGCCCUCUAGCGCUAUCUGGCGGGGCUCCAAGCCCAGCGGAGCCGAGCCGGCCGCGGGGCUCGCUCGGCGGCCGCAGGGCCCUCGGCCCCGGCUCAGCGGCUCCCGCGGGACGCUGCUGUGGCCAGGCCCGCCUUCCAUCCCUAAGGGGCGAAACCCGCCCCGGGAAGGAGCAUAGACAUGAACCCCUUCGCGUCUGUCCACACGCGGGUGGGUCUGAAGCACUAAAGUAAGAGAAGAGAUAUUUUUUUUUAUUUAUUUUUUAAAUGUUUUUUUUUUAAGAUUCUAUUUUAUUUAAGCUGGAAUGUUCAUAAAAGUAGGGACCAUAAACAGUCAACAAGUGUAUUUCCAUCACACACCAGAGGAGAAAAAAAAAAAAAAAGGAAGAAAACAACCACAAACCUGUCACGGCUUCCCACUAACACUGCUUGCACUGGGUAGUUAAAAAUCUAGUUUGUAAUUGUUUGAAGAAGCCCGAAGCAUGAAAAAAAAAAAAAAAAUCAAUCUUUCCAGAACGACAUGGAAACCAAAGGGACAGUUAGGGCAAACUAAUGGCUUUAGUGUGAUACCAGAGAAUCUGCAAAGGCUUCAAACUCUGCUCAGAGCUCUGCUCCAGCUCACUCAAAAUAUCCCCUUUUGUUCUCCAGCUGCCUAUAAAACUCCAGAAGAGGAGCGCUCUCAUUUUUACACUGGAGUUCUCGGUCCGGAGAGAACAAUAUACUCCUACCUCUUUUGAAAUGAUCCGGAGACUCUCACAACACACAAGCAAUCACUCGAAGCACGAAAUUCCCUUUUUUUUUUUUUUUUUUCCAAGGAACUGCUCGGCCCAUUGUUUGAAGUGGGAUUCAGCGCACAGCCCAAAGAGAAAAGGAAAAAAAAAAAAAUCUUGAGAGCCCCAUUUGGUAUUGCACAGAGAGAGAGCUGACAAAAUAUUAUAGCGUGUUUCCUAGAAGUACGUGGUGAGAGCCGGCGGUGUGUUCCCGAAAAGAGGUUGCUUUUUAUUUCCACCCCCACCCCCCCCAAGAUUGUGAUCGUCUUUGUAUGUGUUUCUUUUGAUCCCACAAAGAGAAUGCAAUAUACAUAUACGUGUUUGCUCUCCAUACAAGAAAUGCCAUACAAUGGAAUAUGCGGCCGGUUAGUCCUCAUAAUGCUUAGUUUUGCUGUAAUUAAUUGAAAACAGUUAUUAGGUCGUCAUUGGCAAUAGCGUAAAUAAUUGCAGCAGAUUUUUACUUAAAAUUGACCGGUCAUGGAGUGAUAGAUCGAUUCGAGGUAUAAAAAUGAUGUAUCAAAACAUCAAUGUCGAUUAUUUGAAAUAUUGUAGUCGAAUCUUUUUAUUGCUUCAUCGGUUAAGUGUCUGAAAGUGCUGUGUUCCAACAUAUAUUUAUGUUGUCAAUACUGUCAAAACUGUCAGUUUUAUUACAGUGGAUUUGUAAUACAUUUCGGAUUUGCUCAUUUACAUAAAAUGUCCACCUCAGAUACCCCUCCUUUUCUCCAUCUCUGGAAAUCUGUGUCAGUUUAAUGAAAGGAUUCAAGACUCAUACCUGAAGAGGGGAAAAAAAAAAAAAA